GAUGAAGGACUUACGCCUCAAUACUCAACUUCAAGUACCAGUCGAGCCAGCAGCGGUAAUGGAUUCACCUUCAGCAACACUGUCACCGUCUCAAAAACUUCCAGGGACAUGAACGCCACCAGCAGCAACAGCACCAUCAUGCCAUCAAUGAACGUGACAGAUGUUGAAACGCCAACCCAAAGUGGUGCAACUGAGUUGGUGACAACCAGCAAGCAGAUGACCACACCUAAACCCAUCGUUUCCAAUGGCACCGAAGGAAGGAACGACGACAAGAGGACAACCGUUAAACCAAACCCUGCAGAAAGCGACAGCACUGGUAUCAUCAUCCUCGUCA